rnacentral:tRNA from 1 species
UUGGCUUGAAACCAAUUUUAGGGGGUUCGAUUCCUUCCUUUCUUA